CCUCCUCCCGCACUCGCUCGUCCCUCCUCCUCCUCUGCGCCUCCUCCCCCCGAACCCUAACCCUAGCUGCUCCCCACGCCGCCGCCGUCUCCUUCGUCCAGCCCGCCAGACCCCCGCCGUCGUCGCCGUCAUCCACCACCACCGCCACCGCGCCCCCACCCCCUCCCCAUCCCCGCCGGCCCUCACCUUCUCUCCCGUGGCCAGUGGGGAGCCCCUUGGGGGGUCGAUUCCUCCGAGCCAGCCGGCGUCGUCGCCGUCGUCCACCACCACCGCCACCGCACCGCCGCCCUCUCCCCAUCCCUGCCGGCCCCCACCCUUUCCCAUCCCUACCGGCCCCCACCCUCUCCCAAUCACCUUCUCUCCCGUGGCCAGUGGAUUCGCCCCUUGGGGGGUCGAUUCCUCCGAGCCGUCGGUCUGCAGGGCCGGUCGGGAGCGGCACAUCCCCCGUCGGUGCAUCGGUGGCGACGGCCCCGCAGGUUGCUGCUCGCGGUUGGUUGCAAGGAUAGGUGUUGCGGUGGUCAAAUUCUCCUAGAAAGGUUUGUCUUCAACCUCUGGAGAUUUGUCUUCGACUAUGCUCCGAGAGGUGUCAUGGUCUGAGAGGAUAUAGUGGGAUGGCUCCAUCUGCUAGAGUGAUUGGCUGUUUUCAAGGUUCUGUUGUGCAAUCAUGCAUCUACAGGAUGGUCUGCCCAUUGGUUACACAUGUGAAAAGCGGAUGACGCAUGUCAAGCUGCUGGGAGCUCAGGGCAUGUUCAUCAGCUUGCCUCAAGUAUAUUGGGACCUGUUUGUGAUCUAUAUCAGGUGCACGAGCUUUCAGAUCUAAGGUUCACCGACACACGAGUCACUUGGUUGUCUGAUGCGUUCGUGCUCGUCGGCGGGACGGUGCAAGGCGCAACUCCGACACGGUUCCUUGCCGGUUGGAUGGUGUUCAGGCACAACCCCGGCGCGCACUGAGUACUGCCUCGGCUACAACCUCCCUUAGUGAAGAAGGCCUUGGUUCAACCUAAUUAUUCGUUGAUGUUUUCUUAUGUUCUCAUGUUAGCUCAGGUCGAUAACUGAGCUCUCAGUAAUGAUUUUUAUAUUGCACUAGCUUUCUCAUAUUCAGUUUAGCCGCCACUGGUUCUUCCCUUUGUUGUGUCAUUUCUACAUAUAUCCUUUAAAGUUUGAGAAAAUUUGGCUCUGUGAUUCUGAUUUUAAGAAGCCGAUGCCUUGUUGGUAAGAGGAUGUGGAUUGCGAUGAGAAACGCACAACAGCUAGCAAAAAGAAAGCUAGGUAACUCCUCGUAUGGUUUACUAAUGAUACGUACAGAUCUAAGUGGAUUCAAUGCUUUUCCUUAUCCAAUGUUUUAUAUAUUCUUAUAAGAACAAUCUUUUACUAUUUCUUGUUGUGAAUGCUAUCAUAUAGUGCCUCUCUACUUGCUCAAAAUCAAAUGUACAUCUAUGAAAAGGUAAAAAUUAAGGUUGGUGAGAUGGCAGUAGAUUGGCAUGUUUGCAGAAAAAAAUAGCCAUGUAAGUUCAAAAGAACAUCUUUAACUAUUGCUGCUACAUGCUUUGUAUAUUUCCUCUCUGGUUCCUUUAAAUCGGAGAGGACCAAGGUCGCCAUCGUUGAUUUGAAGGAAGCAGAGAGGAAAGAAAAAGUAUAUAGCAGGAAAUAUGUUAAAAGAUGUUCUUUUGAACUUACAUGGCGAGUAAAUAGUUAAAAUGAUGUUCGCUUGAUUUUACUUUGGUACAGGUUUAUUCUAUAAGUGGAUGCAUAGGCUUAAAGCAGAGGACCUUCCUACUCAGGGCUCCAGGGAUAACCACAUUAUUUUCACUUACAUGUUCCUGAUUCCUUCGUCGUCUCGCGGCUGGAUCAGUUGGCGCUGACACGUUCGCUGUUUGGUCGAGCCAUCCACGGCAAUGUUGCUGCCGUCCAGGACGAGCUGCUCAGCCUGCUGCUCCACGAGACUCCCUAGCAGCUGCUGAGGAGAGGUUCCAUGGGAACAAGCACCCAUGGUUGUUGCCACCGUUAACACUGUCCCUUUGCUGCGGCCCUUUAGACCCUCUGCUGAUCCAGCUCACAGAAGGUCAGUGCUUGGUAUAAUUCCCCUUCCCUUCACCUUCUCCAACCCCUGUAGUUUUAAGUCCUGUUCUAAUCCUAUUUGUAAUGAUAUGCUUGGCAUAGGGGAAGGGAAGUGGUUUCUCUCUGUUGAGGAGGACAAAAAGGGAUAGAGGAGGAGGUAGAGGUGAUUUGCCUGGCAUUAUGCUGCGAGGAUAGAGGGCCAUGGAUCUGCACGUGGAGGACCGGCACCCUCGCGCCAAGGCGUGAUAUCGAUCUAGUCAGAUUCUGAGAGCUGAUGCGUUCGGCACCGCUCCACCCACUCCGGUCGUGGAGUUCGGAGCUGGAGUGUUGCCAAACAGAUUAAUUUGAAAGCGAGUAUGUGCAAGUCACUGGAUUUUAAAAGGAGCAGCUCAAGACUUGGUCAGUGGUACAGAGUAUAUGGCACGUCAGUAUCCAGCAAUCGCAGAAUUCAAAAACCGUUUCGGAGACUGGACGGGGACGCUCCCAUACAGCAGGCAAGACGAGGCCAUUUCCGGGUUUUCUUUUUCUUUUUGCACUCCAGUUUUCGCUUCUCUUUGUUAAACAUAUGCAGUCGGCGUCGGCGGGACGUACUCUCGUGCACGGUCCCAACUAUACUACGAGGCAACUACUACCACCUUAGAUCUGGUACCUCGUCAUCAAGUGAGUCGGUAUGGUGGUUAUAUGCAUGGGUGUACGAUAAUUCCCUGGGACCAACCUAUAAUGACGCCCCUAAUAAUGAUAACAUGGACCUAAUUAAAGCCAGUAAAAAAAUUAGACCCAGUAAAUAAUGUGAUCACAACUCAAAUCCAUGUCUGCAACUUCCACAAUGGCAUGGACGAAUCCCUCCAAUUCUAUCGGUGUUUUUUCAGCCCUUUAUUUGGGACUUCCUUCUCUUGAUUCUGCAAGAUCGUGUUCUCAGUUUGUUACAGGAAACUCCUCAAAAAAGUUGCCAGUGUGAUACUGCAAUGUGAGGAAAUCCUGACCCUAUGACUCUGGGGGUACGGAUGUGUACUAAAAUUCACUGUGCUCCUGGGAGCAUCUCCAAAAGCGGAAACAUAAUUUAGUGACUAAAAAUUGGGUUUAGCGAUGAAGAGAGAUGAUUAUCGUCGUGAGAAAAGUUUCAGCGUUUUUCAGCGGACCAAAAAAUUGGACUUCUUCUUUUAUCACACAUGUUUGUGCGUAUGCAAUGUUGUAAAUAACAUCAAUUGCUUUUGGUGCCCGGCAUCCUCGAAUUCGUCAAGCAAGCUGCUCGCGUUGCCACGCUUUUGGUUGGUGCCCGUCUUCAGUUUCGUCACUAGUGCUAAGGUGUAGUCCGUCUCUGCCUGAAUGUAACACUAGCUUGCAUGGUAGGCUAGUUCUUCUAAUCCAGUCUUUGUGCUAUGGCAAUGUAAUCGGCGCACUCCUAUUUAGAUGGAAAACGCUUCCUACUCGAUCAUCUCCUGGAAUGUGCUGGGCGAGCAAGAAAAAUGCGCCAAUAUCUUCUCUGAACUAAACACUCUCCGUCCAUCGGUCGCUCUGCUCCAAGCGACUAAUUUUUUUCCUUUUACGGGUAAAAAAAAUAGAUCAUUCAUUUCUACCGCGGUUUCUAGAUUCUCACGAUCAACUUCCUGCUAACGGACGAUUUGCCCCAAGCUUGACACUAUCCUGGUUGGCCUCAAACAAAUGUCCUAGUGACCAACGUCUAUGCCCCCACAUCCCCCACAUCCAGACAACUAGAAACUGAAUUUCUAGAUGAACUAAAAAACUUGGAGCCACCUAUAGAUACACCCUGACAACUUAUAGAAAAUUUCAACCUAAUCCACUUCUCCUGCAAAAAAACAACCCUAAUUUCCACAGGGCAAAUGCGGAUGCCUUCAACAACACUAUUUUUUUUCUCGAAUACGCACGAGUGUGCGUAAUAUAUUAUAAAGAGCCCCUCCACGAUAGUCUUACAAGAUUUUAAUUACAUGGACACCACCACCACCUCCACUCUUCUAUCUCUAUGCUAACUUGCCACACUAGCCCACCCUUCCACAAUCCACAUUGCUAAAGAAUCUACUAAGAUCUCCUAGACAAUUCACAUGGUCAAAUAAUCAGUCCUUGCCUACUCUGGAGCGGAUAGAUAGAGUUUCUUUUUUUGAUCAUAAUAGAUAGAGUUUCUAUAAACUUGGCCUGAGGUGAAUUAUUUCCUAACACCAACCUCACCUCCUGGCCUUGUUCGGUUGUGUGUAAGUCCGAGUGAAUUGAAGGGGUUUGAGGAGGAUUUAAACCUCUUCUAAGUCAAAAUAUGAACCAAUCCUUGCCAAUCCCCUCCAAUCCUCUUGGGGAGAGGAUUAACCGAACAAAGCCUAAAACGUUUUACUUCUGACCACGCAAGACUGCUAGUCUCCAUCUCAACAACAAUGCUAUCUUCCCGUCUUUUCUGUUUUGAAAAAAAUACUGGACCUCCUCUCCGGGCUGCAACGAAUUGGUUAGCCAGCUCUGGCAGGCUAACAAUGAUCUGGCACAUGGGCCAGACCGGGCCAAUACCUCAAAUACAAAUGACCCAGCUGCCGCUCUCGUUGAAUUGUUUUUUUUGAACUCGAUCGAACCUAAAGCGUGGUCUAAGACAAUCAAGCCCAUCUACCAACCAGAGAAUAACUACAAAUCACUGACAAUCAAGCCCAUCUACCAACCAGAGAAUAACUACAAAUCACUGAUGAUUUCUCAAAAAACAAAAACCACAAAUCACUGAUCCAAAUUUUAGAUCUCCAUGAGGAAUUCAGACCUUUAGCCUCCCUACUAAUAAAACUCAGGUCUAUUAUUUCCUGCACCUUGCAACGGACCAUUCGUCAAAAGGAGAUGGCUACAGGAGAGCAUAACUAGUUUUUUUUUCGUAUUUUUUUCAGCUUGCAAAGGGACACCAUCAAUUUUGGGCUUUGGGGUGCUUGGUGAACUUUGUUCAAAUUUAUCAACAGUUUUUAUAAUUUUCGAACAUUAAAAAAAAUAUGAAGAACUUUAAUAUUUGAGCAUUUAAGCAAAUAUAUUUUUAAAAUUUGGUAAAAUAUCCAGUGGCAACUUUACCCACAACUUUCAAUUGGGACCAACAAUUGUUUUUCUGCCACAGUUGCAAGCUCACUAUUAACUUGCAACCGGGCCCGACUUUUUUUUGUCUCCAGUUGCAAGUUCACUCUCGACUCGCAACGGGACUCGAUGUUUCUACCAUACAAUAGAAAUGCUGAAAUAUUCGUGCAAACUUUGAUCGAGUUGUGUCCCUUGUCAGUGUGUGGCAGCUAUAUCUCGCAUUAAGCAAGAUGGAAGAAGCUCUCGCUGAAGAGUCCGCAGUAACGGGCCAGCCCAUUAGCGCAUAGUAAAACAUGAGAAAU